ensembl:lncRNA
CGGAGGGAGGGGACCUCACACCUGUAAGGAGAGAAGUGUAACAGACGAGAAACUUCUUUAAAUCCCAGAGUGUGCUACCGUGCCGGGCUGGCAAGGUGGCCGGGAAGCAGGUGCAGGGGUGAGGGUAGGGGCGACCCCCAGGAGGCAUUUUGACCCGGACAGGAUCACGGGCGCUUUCCCCCACUGGGGAUGCACACCAAAUACCUCCUGUGCAGGACACAUGAUCAAGGUUGACUAGCCAAGGCGCUGCUUAUUACAGCGAAAGUGGUAACCAGCCAGGUGUCCCUCUAGGGGACCAAAUACAUGUCAGGACAGCCACACCAGGGAACACUGCAGCCCUCAACAACAGGGUCAAGAAAUUUUCUAUGUGCUGACGGGAGAGGGUCUCCUCGGUCUGUUUCUUUUUUUUUUUUUUUUCAAGUGAAGAAAAGCAACAUGCAGAACAUGUAUGGUAUGCCACAUUUUGGGGUGAUGAUAGGGGAAAGAAUAUUUGCCUGUAUUUAUAAAAGGAAACAUUGGAGAAUACACUAGAAGCCAAUCAUGGUGGAGGUGAAGGUGGGGUAUGGAUAUGAGAGUGGUACCAUAAAGAAAGCUGAGCAUCAAAUAAUUGAUGCUUUCAAACUGUGGUGUUGGAGAAGACUCUUGAGAGUCCCUUGGACCGCAAGGAGAUCAAAGCAGUCAAUCCUAAAGGAAAUCAGUCCUAAAUAUUCGCUGGAAGGACUGAUGCUGAAGCUCCGAUACUUUGGCCACCUCAUAUGAAAGUGAAGCUUGCUCGGUUGUCUCUGACUUUGUGACCCCGUGGACUGUACAGCCCAUGGAAUUCUCCAGCGGAUCUUCCCGACCCAGGAAUCGAACCGGUUCUCCUGCAUUGCUGACGGAUUCUUUACCAGCCGAACUGGGCUGACUUACUGGAAAAGAUUGUGAUGCUGGGAAAGAUUGAGGGCAGGAGGAGAAGGAGGUGACAGAGGAUGAGAUGGUUGGAUGGCAUCGCCGACUCGAUGGACAUAAGUUUGAGCAAACUCUGGGAGAUAGUGAAGGACAGGGAAGCCUGAUGUGCUGUAAUCCAUGGGGUCACAAAGAGUCAGACAUGGCUUCCCAGCUGAACAGCAACAAAGAUGGGGUACAGAGCAGGCAGGGAAUUUACGUCCGGGGAGCACUCCAAUGUGUGUCUUUUAAUGAUAAAGAACAAAACAGUAGUUCGGGGCAAAAGGAAAUAGAAGGUACGCAGAACUAACCAGUCAUAAAAAGUGGGAGGAGGUGUGGGGUAAAUAAGUUUUAAUUAGUGUUUGAUCUGGGAACAAAUGAUUGGUAAGGUGGUUAAAGAUUUAAUAAGUCCUCGACUUCCCGCAUGCACGUGCAAAUUCAGUUCAGUCGUGUCCAACUCUUUCUACCCUGUGGACUGUAGCUCACCAGGCUCCUCUGUCCAUGGGAUUCUCCAGGCAAGAACACUGGAGUGGGUUGCUGUUUUCUUCCCCAGGGGAUCUUCCUGACCCAGGGGUGGAACCCACGUCUCCCACGUCUCUGCAUUGGCAGGCAGGCUCUACCACUAGGGUCCCCGGGAAGAACCAUCCACUUCCCACACCAGACACCAACUUUCAGUCCCAUGAGUGAUCCACAUUCCCAAGUUAGCUAUUUGAGUAUCCCUCCAGAGAUUUUAUACAUGUCCCAACGAUGCUCCCGUGCAUAGGAGCCAUGCAGUUACACAGGAGGGCGGGCCAGCGCCUCUCUGCACUUCCUAGG